rnacentral:rRNA from 1 species
UACGUAGGGGGCAAGCGUUGUCCGGAAUUAUUGGGCGUAAAGAGCGCGUAGGCGGUCCGGUAAGUCCGCUGUGAAAGUCGGGGGCUCAACCCUCGGAUGCCGGUGGAUACUGUCGGGCUUGAGUACGGAAGAGGCGAGUGGAAUUCCCAGUGUAGCGGUGAAAUGCGUAGAUAUUGGGAGGAACACCAGUGGCGAAGGCGGCUCACUGGACCGGUUCUGACGCUGAGGCGCGAAAGCGUGGGGAGCAAACGGG